AGUCCCCCUGCUUAAAUGGCGGGAAAUGCAUAAGACCAAACCGAUGCCAUUGUCUCUCAGCCUGGACAGGACAUGAUUGUUCCAGGAAAAGGAGAGCCGGGCUUUGAUCUCAUGCCCCACCCCCUCUCCCUAAGCAGCAUCAUCUCCUUCCGGUAGCUCCUGGGACUCCCACCAAGAAAGACCAACGCGGUGCUGGGGCUUGUUUGGUUUUAUAAGCUUGAGGUUGACUUUUUAAUUUUGUGAUCUAUUUUGUUAAAUUUUUUUGUGACGUCCUUUCUUACAUGUGUGCGUUGUUUAAAUAUGCUUGCAUUUUCUAUAUAAAAUUUAUAUUAAACGGACGCACUUCAUCCUCACCAGAUGUACAUACUCUGCUGUCUGCUGGGAAAGCCCCUGGAAUACAUUUUUAUUCAAUUACUUAAAGAUGACUUUCCAUUAAAAUAUAUUUUGCUACU
rnacentral:lncRNA from 1 species